rnacentral:lncRNA from 1 species
GGAAUUUAAUAACGACAAAUUCUCCUUGGCUGAGACUUUUCAUGCCAGCUGCUUUCUCUUUUCCUUUGGACCCUUCCUCAUCCGUGCUGUAGUGCAGGGUCACUCAGGGUUUACAAGGAGACACAAACACAUGGGCAGGUUUUCUUCAGAGUUGAAAAAAAAACCAGAGGCUCCUCCCUCAGACCCAUCAUUACAGAGAUCAGCUGUGCACCCCCCAUGUCCCCUAAGCUGCUCUCCUGAUUAUACACAGAACCCUGUUCUUCAUCCUUCAGGGUGUCUGCUUUUUCUCCGGUUAUGCAGAAACAAGAGAUGGGCACAACACAGAGAGACCAACAAAAGAGGUUUAGAAGGGAGAGAAAAAAAAGAAAAAAGAACCC